AUUGAACGCUGGCGGCAGGCUUAACACAUGCAAGUCGAACGAUGAACUUGGAGCUUGCUCUGGGGGAUUAGUGGCGAACGGGUGAGUAACACGUGAGUAACCUGCCCUGGACUCUGGGAGAACUUCGAGAAAUCGGAGCUAAUACCGGAUAGGACCUUGCACCGCAUGGUGUGGGGUGGAAAGUUUUUCGGUUUGGGAUGGACUCGCGGCCUAUCAGCUUGUUGGUGAGGUAAUGGCUCACCAAGGCGUCGACGGGUAGCCGGCCUGAGAGGGUGACCGGCCACACUGGGACUGAGACACGGCCCAGACUCCUACGGGAGGCAGCAGUGGGGAAUAUUGCACAAUGGGCGCAAGCCUGAUGCAGCAACGCCGCGUGCGGGAUGACGGCCUUCGGGUUGUAAACCGCUUUUAGUAGGGAAGAAGCCUUCGGGUGACGGUACCUGCAGAAAAAGGACCGGCUAACUACGUGCCAGCAGCCGCCGCGGUAA
rnacentral:rRNA from 1 species